rnacentral:rRNA from 1 species
UACGGGGGGGGCAAGCGUUGUUCGGAAUUACUGGGCGUAAAGGGCUCGUAGGCGGCCAACUAAGUCAGACGUGAAAUCCCUCGGCUUAACCGGGGAACUGCGUCUGAUACUGGAUGGCUUGAGAUUGGGAGAGGGAUGCGGAAUUCCAGGUGUAGCGGUGAAAUGCGUAGAUAUCUGGAGGAACACCGGUGGCGAAGGCGGCAUCCUGGACCAACACUGACGCUGAGUGAGCGAAAGCGUGGGGAGCGAACAGG